GAUGAAGAACGCAGCGAAAUGCGAUAAGUAAUGUGAAUUGCAGAAUUCAGUGAAUCAUCGAAUCUUUGAACGCACAUUGCGCCCGCCAGCAUUCUGGCGGGCAUGCCUGUUCGAGCGUCAUUUCAACCCUCGAGCCCCCCGGGGGGCCUCGGUGUUGGGGGACGGCACACCAGCCGCCCCCGAAAUGCAGUGGCGACCCCGCCGCAGCCUCCCCUGCGUAGUAGCACACACCUCGCACCGGAGCGCGGAGGCGGUCACGCCGUAAAACGCCCAACUUUCUUAGAGUUGACCUCGGAUCAGGUAGGAAUACCCGCUGAACUUAAGCAUAUCAAUAAGCGGAGGA
rnacentral:misc_RNA from 1 species